AUGCAAGGAGACGGCGUACUGAGUACGCUUGUCUGGCUGACCGCCGUCGUCGGGUCGGCUGUCGCCAGUGAAGAACGCCAGGCGUGCGGACCACCGACGAACAAUCAGAGCAUCUUCGAUUUCUCUAUUCGGAACGUGUAUGACAACGCCACUAUCGACUUGAGUCAGUUUCGCGGGAAGCUGACGUUGGUAGUGAACGUUGCGACGUACUGAGGACACGUGUGGCAGUACCAUGGGUUGAAUGCACUACAGACCCAACAUGGUGCUGAAGGUCUCCAGAUUCUGGGAGUGCCUUGCAAUCAGUUCUACUUCCAAGAGCCUGCCUGGAACGGCGUGGAGUUGAUGAACGGGCUUAAGCACGUGCGUCCCGGGGGAGGUUUCGUGCCGAAUUUUCCUCUCGCUAAGAAGACGGAUGUAAACGGUCAGGAUGAACACGCGAUGUACAAAUAUCUCAAGUCCAUGUGCCCGUCCGUGGAAAGACGGGUGUACACCCCAAUCCUGUACAGCCCAGUUUACACCGAAGACGUCAAGUGGAACUACGAGAAGUUUCUCAUUGGUCCAGACGGAAGACCUAUUUAUAGAUACGCGCAAACAGUCGAACCCGCAACCGAUGCGCAGUUUUUAGCAGACGUCAAGGCGGAGCUUGACAAGUUGAAAGGUCACUCACAACAGCCAUCAAGUGCACCAAACGCACGUAUUCCCGCGGUUGGAUAACUCGUUACCAGUUAUUUAUUAAUGUCAACAAUACAAUAAUUAUUUUAUGUAUUUGUGUUAUAUGAUUAUUGUACGCUUUAUUAUUAGAAGCGCAUUUUGUUAUUAAUAUUAAUGUCGCGCAUGUUUGCGCGUCACUGCUUUAUUUUAUGUGCUUUAUUUUUAUGUGUUUAUUACUGUCUGUAUGAAUUGGAGGUCGGAAACAGUUCCCACUGUGGGCCUUCAUUGAUUCGUUGUCAUGGUUACACGUCUUUGUGCAUUCAGACUGUUGCCAUUUCAACGCGACAGUGUUUAAAAUAAACGCGUGCAAAAUAA